rnacentral:tRNA from 2 species
CCUUCGAUAGCUCAGUUGGUAGAGCGGUGGACUGUAGUUCGAGAUUUAAGGAAAUAGUAAUCCAUAGGUCGCUGGUUCAAAUCCGGCUCGAAGGA